UCUGCAAAAAUAGAAGGUCUAGCCUGCCCAGUGACCAAGUUAAACGGCCGCGGUACCCUAACCGUGCGAAGGUAGCGCAAUCACUUGUUCUUUAAAUGAGGACUAGUAUGAACGGCAUCACGAGGGUUACACUGUCUCCCACCUCUAAUCAGUGAAACUGAUCCCCCCGUGAAGAAGCGGGGAUAAACUUAUAAGACGAGAAGACCCCAUGGAGCUUUAAACUCAGUACCAAUCACCUAUAACCAUACCACAAUAACCCGGUGAUCCUGAUUACUAGUUUUAGGUUGGGGUGACCACGGAGCAUAAUUAAACCUCCAUGUUGAAAAACUUCCUCUAAUCCAAGAGUGACAACUCUAAGAAUCAAAAACCGACAUACAUUGACCCAAAUAUUUUGAUCAACGAAC
rnacentral:rRNA from 1 species